rnacentral:rRNA from 1 species
UACAGAGGGGCAAGCGUUAUUCGGAAUUAUUGGGCGUAAAGGGCGCGAUAGGCGGCCUGGCAAGUGGAUGGUGAAAUCCCUCGGCUUAACCGAGGAACUGCCAUCCAGACUGCUUGGCUUGAGACCGGGAGAGGUGAGUGGAAUUCCCAGUGUAGCGGUGAAAUGCGCAGAUAUCAAGGAGGAACACCGAUGGCGAAGGCAGGUCUCUGGGCCGAUACUGACGCUGAGGAGCGAAAGCGUGGGGAUCAAACAGG